GACGAACGCUGGCGGCGUGCUUAACACAUGCAAGUCGAACGGAAAGGCCCUGCUUUUGUGGGGUGCUCGAGUGGCGAACGGGUGAGUAACACGUGAGUAACCUGCCCUUGACUUUGGGAUAACUUCAGGAAACUGGGGCUAAUACCGGAUAGGAGCUCCUGCUGCAUGGUGGGGGUUGGAAAGUUUCGGCGGUUGGGGAUGGACUCGCGGCUUAUCAGCUUGUUGGUGGGGUAGUGGCUUACCAAGGCUUUGACGGGUAGCCGGCCUGAGAGGGUGACCGGCUACAUUGGGACUGGGAUACGGCCCAGACGCCUACGGGAGGCAGCAGUGGGGAAUAUUGCACAAUGGGCGGAAGCCUGAUGCAGCAACGCCGCGUGCGGGAUGACGGCCUUCGGGUUGUAAACCGCUUGCGCCUGUGACGAAGCGUGAGUGACGGUAAUGGGUAAAGAAGCACCGGCUAACUACGU
rnacentral:rRNA from 1 species